rnacentral:rRNA from 1 species
UGGGGAAUAUUGGACAAUGGGCGCAAGCCUGAUCCAGCAAUGCCGCGUGAGUGAUGAAGGCCUUAGGGUUGUAAAGCUCUUUCGCACGCGACGAUGAUGACGGUAGCGUGAGAAGAAGCCCCGGCUAACUUCGUGCCAGCAGCCGCGGUAAUACGAAGGGGGCUAGCGUUGUUCGGAAUUACUGGGCGUAAAGGGCGCGUAGGCGGCCUGUUUAGUCAGAAGUGAAAGCCCCGGGCUCAACCUGGGAAUAGCUUUUGAUACUGGCAGGCUUGAGUUCCGGAGAGGAUGGUGGAAUUCCCAGUGUAGAGGUGAAAUUCGUAGAUAUUGGGAAGAACACCGGUGGCGAAGGCGGCCAUCUGGACGGACACUGACGCUGAGGCGCGAAAGCGUGGGGAGCAACGGGAUUAGAUACCCUGGUAGUCCACGCCGUAAACGAUGAAUGCUAGACGUCGGGGUGCAUGCACUUCGGUGUCGCCGCUAACGCAUUAAGCAUUCCGCCUGGGGAGUACGGCCGCAAGGUUAAAACUCAAAUGAAUUGACGGGGUCAUAGCUGUUUCCU